UCGAGCGAUGAAGCCCAGCUUGCUGGGUGGAUUAGUGGCGAACGGGUGAGUAACACGUGAGUAACCUGCCCUUAACUCUGGGAUAAGCCUGGGAAACUGGGUCUAAUAGCGGAUAGGAGCGCCUACCGCAUGGUGGGUGUUGGAAAGAUUUAUCGGUUUUGGAUGGACUCGCGGCCUAUCAGCUUGUUGGUGAGGUAAUGGCUCACCAACGCGACGACGGGUAGCCGGCCUGAUAGGGUGACCGGCCACACUGGGACUGAAACACGGCCCAGACUCCUACGGGAGGCAACACUGGGGAAUAUUGCACAAUGGGCGAAAGCCUGAUGCACGACGCCGCGUGAGGGAUGACGGCCUUCCGGUUGUAAACCUCUUUCNNUAGGGAAGAAGCGAAAGUGACGGUACCUGCANAGAAGCACCNNCUAACUNCGUG
rnacentral:rRNA from 1 species